rnacentral:lncRNA from 1 species
CCUCUAUAUCUGCCCUGUCCACUGGCUGUCCUAGGAGCAGCAUGGAACCCGAGAUAAUUUGGUAAUUUCAAUCUUAUGACUUCAGCUACCCUUAAUGACCUUUAAAAUUGAUUUGCUUCAUUUGUUUUGGUUUUAAGAGAUUAUGCUUAAGUAAUGCUUUGCUGCAUUUAAUGUUUUGUUGUAUUCUAAUUUACUGUGUAAUGACUCUCUAUAUUAAAUAAUAGUAACAAUAUCUGAAUUUAUUAAUCGACAAAACAUGACAGACAAUGCAUGUUAAGCUUUCUAUAUAUUUUGAAUCACGUAUCUCCCAGGUAACAUAAGAAAACUGUUAAAUCAUACUGAACCAGAUUCCUCAGCUGAUGUAAAUCAGCUAAUAUACAGCAGCUGAAUUUCUGGUCCAUUAUGUUUUUCCAUAAAAGAUGUCUUUGCCUUCAGAGUAUUAAUUAUCCAUGAUUCUUUUACUUUUCUUGUUUUUCUGCCUUUGCAGGUGCUGCUAAUUCACCCAUUUUCUUCCAGAAAUGGGAAAAUUGAUCUAUAUUAGGAAAUAUGUUCUUCCUUUCUUCAUGCUUGUGAAAAUGAAGGAUAGUUGUGCCUGCACUACAAGAAGGGUGAUUUAGGUUGUAUGAAGCCAGAUCAUCAGUACUUCAAAUUAGUAACAGAACACAAAUAGUCUCGGAGAUUGCUAUAAAGCUUUCUGAUUUUCCACAGCACAAGAAACUGAAAAAUAAAAAUUCAGGGUUCGCUGUAUUGGAGAGUAGCUGCAUUUGCAACAAUUGUAUGUACAUUGAUAUUUUAUGUUGGGGUUUGAAGUCUUCAGUAGGCUCCUUAAUAAAUAACAAGGUAUCCCGAAAGGAUGAAUACUAGGUGGCACCUGCUGAGUUACUAACCUUUGCUGUGUUCUUUUUAUAAUCUUUUUUUUUUUUUUCUAAAUAUCUUGUGAUCUCAAAUGCAGAUCCACUAGUUUAGAUGAUUUUCUUCUGCAGCAGCUCUGCUUGAUCACUACUAAGGUUUUUUGAGGGAGGGUUGCCAAAUUUGCCAACGCUAAUCUGGAAGCCAAAAUAAAUAUCUUUGUGUUCUGAAGAGCA